rnacentral:rRNA from 1 species
UACGGGGGGAGCAAGCGUUGUUCGGAUUUACUGGGCGUAAAGGGCGCGUAGGCGGCGUGACAAGUCACUUGUGAAAUCUCCGGGCUUAACCCGGAGCGGCCAAGUGAUACUGUCGUGCUAGAGUGCGGAAGGGGCUACUGGAAUUCUCGGUGUAGCGGUGAAAUGCGUAGAGAUGUGGAGGAACACCGAUGGCGAAGGCAGCCCCCUGGGUCAAGAUUGACGCUCAUGCACGAAAGCGUGGGGAGCAAACAGG